rnacentral:misc_RNA from 1 species
AACCUAGCACACCUGCGGUGUGUACCUGCGGAGGGAUCAUUACCGAGUUUACAACUCCCAAACCCCUGUGAACAUACCUAUACGUUGCCUCGGCGGAUCAGCCCGCGCCCCGUAAAAAGGGACGGCCCGCCCGAGGACCCCUAAACUCUGUUUUUAGUGGAACUUCUGAGUAAAACAAACAAAUAAAUCAAAACUUUUAACAACGGAUCU